AUUCAGCUGAUGAGUCCCAAAUGAGACGAAAUACACAUCAUGGAU
rfam:Schistosoma curassoni strain Dakar, Senegal genome assembly, scaffold: SCTD_scaffold0001471